AGGAAAGCAGGGGAUCGCAAGACCUUGCGCUCUUGGAGCGGCCGAUGUCUGAUUAGCUAGUUGGUGAGGUAAAGGCUUACCAAGGCGACGAUCAGUAGCUGGUCUGAGAGGACGACCAGCCACACUGGGACUGAGACACGGCCCAGACUCCUACGGGAGGCAGCAGUGGGGAAUUUUGGACAAUGGGGGAAACCCUGAUCCAGCCAUGCCGCGUGAGUGAAGAAGGCCUUCGGGUUGUAAAGCUCUUUCAGCCGGAACGAAACGGUCACGGCUAAUACCCGUGAUCACUGACGGUACCGGAAGAAGAAGCACCGGCUAACUACGUGCCAGCAGCCGCGGUAAUACGUAGGGUGCAAGCGUUAAUCGGAAUUACUGGGCGUAAAGCGUGCGCAGGCGGUUUUGUAAGUCAGAUGUGAAAUCCCCGGGCUUAACCUGGGAACUGCGUUUGAAACUACAAGGCU
rnacentral:rRNA from 1 species